UCCGGGUGUUGGAGGAAGAAGGAGCUGAUCAGCCAGUCUGGAGUGCUAUGCUCUUUCUUGGUUCAGCCUGAAGAUUCAAGUCCAAUCUCUUCUGAAGGUGGUAGAUUGGCACGGAAAGGGAAUUGAAGCAAGAAAACCAAUUGGAAGGCUAUUGCAACAGCACAAAUGAUGAAAGCAAGGUAAAAUAAGUUUCCCAUGGUUCCAGAGCUCGUGAGUGCCCAAGUCAAGAUUCAAAUCUUGGGCUUCCAACUCCAAAUCCUGACCUAUUUCAACUCUUCCCACACACCCUGCUAUGUGAGUAAGGUAAAGGACUUUGUAACAUAAUCAACAAUAUGGUAUAUGUCACACU